AGCGAACGCUGGCGGCAGGCUUAACACAUGCAAGUCGAGCGGGCACUUUCGGGUGUCAGCGGCGGACGGGUGAGUAACGCGUGGGAACGUGCCCUCUGGUUCGGAAUAACUCAGGGAAACUUGAGCUAAUACCGGAUACGCCCUUUUGGGGAAAGGCUUGCUGCCGGAGGAUCGGCCCGCGUCUGAUUAGCUAGUUGGUGAGGUAACGGCUCACCAAGGCGACGAUCAGUAGCUGGUCUGAGAGGUUGAUCAGCCACACUGGGACUGAGACACGGCCCAGACUCCUACGGGAGGCAGCAGUGGGGAAUAUUGGACAAUGGGCGCAAGCCUGAUCCAGCCAUGCCGCGUGAGUGAUGAAGGUCUUAGGGUUGUAAAGCUCUUUUAUCCGGGACGAUAAUGACGGUACCGGAGGAAUAAGCCCCGGCUAACUUCGUG
rnacentral:rRNA from 1 species